rnacentral:rRNA from 1 species
AACGCAUAUUGCGCUCUCUGGUAUUCCGGAGAGCAUGCUUGUUUGAGUAUCAGUAAACACCUCAAAUCCUCACUUCUUUUUGAAGAGAGGAAUUGGACUUGAGCAAUCCCAACACUUGCAAGAGUGGCGGGUUGCUUGAAAUGCAGGUGCAGCUGGACUUUCCUCUGAGCUAAAAGCAUAUUUAUUUAAUCCCGUCAAACGGAUUAUUACUUUUGCUGCAGCUAACAUAAAGGAGAAUCGUUCUUGUGCUGACUGAUGCAGGAUUCACAGGUUGCUUCGGCGACUUGUAAACUCGAUCUCAAAUCAAGUAAGACUACCCGCUGAACUUAA